rnacentral:lncRNA from 1 species
UCACUUGAUCCCUCCUCAACAAUCAGUUUUUUUCAUUUAAGAUAGACAUACUGUAUAGCGACAGCCUAAUACAGACUUUCAGAUGCACACCUGGCCAGAGACACUACCAGAUGCUUAGAAAAAAAAGAUUGUUUUCAUACACACACACACACACACACACACACACACACAAACACAAAUAGGCUUUCCAAAAUUCAAUGUAGCAAGGUAGAUUUCAAUUCCCAUUCUCUCCCAACUGUAAGAAACAGUCACUAUACAUAUGCUGUUUUAUUAUGUAUAAAAUUAUGGACAACAUAAAAAUCCCUUUUAGAUGGUAUUUUAUUAGAAGAGAGAAAAUGAAAAGCAUGUUAUAUACAUUGUAGUUAAAAUGAAGACUAAUAUGGUUAAACAGAAAUUUGCCCGUUUAAAAUGAAACGGAGAUGAAAUGCAUGGUAAAUAAAAACUAAACUAGAAGCCGGGCAUGGUGGCGCAUGCCUUUAAUCCCAGCACUCAGGAGGCAGAGGCAGGUGGAUUUCUGAGUUCGAGGCCAGCCUGGACUACAAAGUGAGUCCCAGGACAGCCAGGGCUAUACAGAGAAACCCUGUCUCAAAAAACCAAAAAAAAAAAAAAAAAACUAAACUAGAAACCAAUUUAUGACACCUUUGCUCUUAAAGCCAUUCAAUAUAGUAAAGUAGAAAGAUACAUACACAUUUUGCCAAAACAUUUUUUCUGUAGGCUUUCACUCUGUAAAAGAAGAAAUACAGUUUAAAAGCAUAAUUUCUAUACAAAGAUUUACUUUUGAUAAGAUAUUUUAGUGAUAGUGUCAUUCAGAUCAAAUUGCCUUAUGUAACUAGUUCAAAUGUUUGUUAUUUGUUUCCAUAUACUUAGUUGUACGACACACAAGAAAUUAAUGUUAAUGUCCUCAUAUCCUUUAGUAAGAAACGUCAUUGCUUGAGGAAUGCAUAAGGAGAAAUAUGAUCAUUCAUGAGUUUAAUUAAAAAAAAUACAUUACAUUGUUUCCAGUUCAACCUAGAAAUACUUUGAAUACAGUAUUUUAAAAAGUUAAGGCAUCAUAUUCUAACCUGACCAUAAAUAGGUAGUGACUACUACUGAAUUUAGGAUUUUAUAAAACCAUUCUCAAGACAAACUCCUGUUAAUGUAUACAACCAUCAAUUAUACUACUAUAUUAUUUUGGCAUUUCCUGAUCAUUAACUUUGAAAGGUAUCUCUUUUUUAAGGGAUUCUUUUAAUAAUUUUUUUAAAAAUCUAUUUGUUUUUCUUAAUCUACUUCCAAUAUAAUUUAUGUAAAAAUG